rnacentral:rRNA from 1 species
GAUGAACGCUGGCGGCGUGCCUAAUACAUGCAAGUCGAGCGAACGGACGAGAAGCUUGCUUCUCUGAUGUUAGCGGCGGACGGGUGAGUAACACGUGGAUAACCUACCUAUAAGACUGGGAUAACUUCGGGAAACCGGAGCUAAUACCGGAUAAUAUUUUGAACCGCAUGGUUCAAAAGUGAAAGACGGUCUUGCUGUCUCUUAUAGAUGGAUUCGCGCUGCAUUAGCUAGUUGGUAAGGUAACGGCUUACCAAGGCAACGAUGCAUAGCCGACCUGAGAGAGUGAUCGGCCACACUGGAACUGAGACACGGUCCAGACUCCUACGGGAGGCAGCAGUAGGGAAUCUUCCGCAAUGGGCGAAAGCCUGACGGAGCAACGCCGCGUGAGUGAUGAAGGUCUUCGGAUCGUAAAACUCUGUUAUUAGGUAAGAACAUAUGUGUAAGUAACUGUGCACAUCGUGACGGUACCUAAUCAGAAAGCCACGGCUAACUACGUG